UACGUAGGGGGCUAGCGUUGUCCGGAAUCAUUGGGCGUAAAGAGCGUGUAGGCGGUCCGGUAAGUCCGCUGUGAAAGUCGGGGGGCUCAACCCUCGAAUGCCGGUGGAUACUGUCGGGCUAGAGUGCGGAAGAGGCGAGUGGAAUUCCUGGUGUAGCGGUGAAAUGCGCAGAUAUCAGGAGGAACACCUAUUGCGAAGGCAGCUCGCUGGGACGUAACUGACGCUGAGACGCGAAAGCAUGGGUAGCGAAACAGG
rnacentral:rRNA from 1 species